GCCGGUUCCUCUUUCUGCCUGCUGGGGUCGGGCCUGGCUCCGGCAACGACAUCCCGCUGUGGUUAAAGCUGCACGGGUGGGAAUAGCACGGUUUAUCUGGGUAUCUCCGAAGAGGGCGUGGCUGGCCCUGCUCCUAGGACACCCGUGACCCUGGAUCCCAGGAGGUUGGAGCUGAAAAGUGUCUCAGAGAACAUUCUGUCCACUUUGUCAAGGAGAAAAUGGGCAUCAGAGAGGCCGACUUGCCCCACACGCUGCUGGCGUGGGCAGGAGGUGCUGGUGUUCUUCACAUCCGCACCACUGUGAAAGUGAGCAGUGGCAUGCAUGAAGCUGUCCCCAAAAUAAACAGGCCACUUCCACAGCUCUGGGGCUCCUGAUGCCAAGGUCUGUGGUUCCGGCUGGACUGGGAGAGUGUGUAUCCCUGUCAGAUGGGAGCAGGGGCCCCGACCAGCCUGGAACACCCCCAAAAGCCAGGUCGUAGCCGGCAAGAAGGUGAGAGGCCUGGGAGCCGGGGGCUGCCCCUGCUCCUGUGGGGACUCCUCCCUGCCCCCAAGCCUGCCGUGCCAGGACAGGCAGCUCGGGGGACCUCCCUCUCCAGGGCAAUCUCAUGCCCCCUUAUCAAGAGCUCUUCAGGAGGGUCUCAGACCACGAGACCCCGAGCACAAGUGCCUGCGCUUCCAUCACUGAGUCCCCAGACGCUGACACGUUUCAGGCACACAGCAGGUGCUCGGGAAAUGCUGAGUCAGAUUGAUGAUGCUGAUGAUGACAGCAGUGACAGAUGGUGGUUGAAGGUGUAUGAGUGCCCAGCACUGGGUGAAGUGCUGAAAGCACAUUAUUUCAUUUAAUCUUCAAUGCACUCAACUGGCAUUCUUGAUGCAAGGAAAGAAACUCAGAGUGGGGAAGUUACUUGCCCAAGCACACAGCCAGGAUGUAGCAGACCUGGGAUUUGAACCCAGGCCUAUCUGACCCUGGAACCACCUGCUGCUGCCCAACAGCUGAAUGUUGGUAGCACCUCCAUGCACAGAUGCAGCUGCAAGCCCCAGGGCGUGAGGCCGGCCGACCCAGGACCCAUCAUCCCAUCGCCAGCCGCAGGAGCCUCAGGCCUUCGUGUCGUGCCACCACUGCUCCACUAUCUGCCACCUUCCCGCCCUGUCCAACUCCAAACCUGGGCCUGGUCUCUCGCAUGUUAGGAAGCCAUGGGUUACGGUUUCAUGUAUGAGUAUUUUCUCUCUUGGUAACUGUAUCUCAAUACAAUCGGUUUCCUUCAUAA